rnacentral:antisense_RNA from 1 species
GAUAACCAAAGAUGAUCCGGGGGUCGAGAGUGGGGUGGGUAACAAGGCGCACAUCACCGCCGCCAGGUGCCCAAGUGUCGUAUAAACCGCCCCAAAGCGUGGCUUUGCCGACAAGUAAGAACGCCGCCACACCCAAGGCGAUUAGGUGAUACCCCAAGAUGCUAGAAAUUUUGUCCUUAUCCGUCCA